GGUGCCUGCUGUGUGCCAGGCA
rnacentral:miRNA from 1 species